UGGGGAAUCUUGGACAAUGGGCGUAAGCCUGAUCCAGCCAUGCCGCGUGGAUGAUGAAGGCCUUAGGGUUGUAAAAUCCUUUCGUGGGGGACGAUAAUGACGGUACCCCAAGAAGAAGCUCCGGCUAACUUCGUGCCAGCAGCCGCGGUAAUACGAAGGGGGCUAGCGUUGUUCGGAUUUACUGGGCGUAAAGCGCGUGUAGGCGGGUCGUUAAGUUGGGGGUGAAAUCCCGAGGCUCAACCUCGGAACUGCCUUCAAAACUGGCGACCUGGACCCAAGUAGAGGCAAGUGGAAUUGCGAGUGUAGAGGUGAAAUUCGUAGAUAUUCGCAGGAACACCAGUGGCGAAGGCGACUUGCUGGACUUGUGGUGACGCUGAGGCGCGAAAGCGUGGGGAGCAAACAGGAUUAGAUACCCCCGUAGUCCCUGAGCGGGCUGGCAAGGCGCAU
rnacentral:rRNA from 1 species